AGUGAACGCUGGCGGUAGGCCUAACACAUGCAAGUCGAACGGCAGCACAGUAAGAGCUUGCUCUUACGGGUGGCGAGUGGCGGACGAGUGAGGAAUACAUCGGAAUCUACUUUUUCGUGGGGGUUAACGUAGGGAAACUUACGCUAAUACCGCAUACGCCCUACGGGUGAAAGCAGGGGAUCUUCGGACCUUGCGCGGUUGAAUGAGCCGAUGUCGGAUUAGUUAGUUGGCGGGGUAAAGGCCCACCAAGGCGACGAUCCGUAGCUGGUCUGAGAGGAUGAUCAGCCACACUGGAACUGAGACACGGUCCAGACUCCUACGGGAGGCAGCAGUGGGGAAUAUUGGACAAUGGGCGCAAGCCUGAUCCAGCCAUACCGCGUGGGUGAAGAAGGCCUUCGGGUUGUAAAGCCCUUUUGUUGGGGAAGAAAAGCAGCAGGUUAAUACCCCGCUGUUCUGACGGUACCCAAAGAAUAAGCACCGGCUAACUUCGUG
rnacentral:rRNA from 1 species